GCUUAUGGCCAUACCACCCUGAGCACGCCCGAUCUCGUCUGAUCUCGGAAGCUAAGCAGGGUCGGUCCUGGUUAGUACUUGGAUGGGAGACCGCCUGGGAAUACCAGGUGCUGUAAGCU
ensembl:rRNA 5S_rRNA 5S ribosomal RNA